UACAUGGGGUGCAAACGUUGCUCGGAAUUAUUGGGCGUAAAGCGCGCGUAGGCGGUUACUUAAGUCGGAUGUGAAAGCCCUCGGCUUAACUGAGGAAGUGCACCCGAAACUGAGUAGCUGGAGUACGAAAGAGGGUCGCGGAAUUCCCGGUGUAGAGGUGAAAUUCGUAGAUAUCGGGAGGAACACCAGUGGCGAAGGCGACUACCUGGCCUGUUCUUGACGCUGAGGCGCGAAAGCUAGGGGAGCAAACGGG
rnacentral:rRNA from 1 species